UUGUAAUGCAGAGUGAAACGGGUCUUUUAAUAGUCUCAGAUGAAACAUUCUGGAAUAGGAAGCUGGGAGGUUGUGAAGGGGGCGUUGAGAGUUUCCUCUCUGAAGUUCCUGAGCUGGCUUCCGAGGUACAGAGGAAUGAUUCCCAGCUGCCCUGAAAGCUCCAAGCUCCCUCCCUCCUCUGCUGGACGAAGGCAAUGGCUUCCGAGUUCUGCAAAGGAUCCCAGCCACGCUGUGUUUUAUCCUUGCAACCAGUUGCAGGGAAACCCCAAACUCUCAGGAGGUGACAAGCCCUGGAAUCCACACUGGUAUCAGCUCUGUGGGCCCCGAGGACACAAGACCAUAAAGAAGACAAUCUGGACAUACAGAUUCUACAAAUGAUCUGGAUGGCUGCUCCUGAGUGACCUCAGUGCCCUUCCCUGGACUCUGUCUUCCCAGCUCCUGAAGCAACAUUCCCCUCCACCCAGGAAAUAAAUAAGCAAAAAUGUUUCCCUGGCUCUUUGCUCGGUGUGACCUCUUU
rnacentral:lncRNA from 1 species